rnacentral:rRNA from 1 species
CUACGGGGUGCUCCAGUGAGGAGUAUUGCACAAUGGGGGAAACCCUGAUGCAGCAACGCCGCGUGGAGGAUGACGCAUUUCGGUGUGUAAACUCCUUUUAUCAGAGAGGAAAAUGACGGUAUCUGAUGAAUAAGCUCCGGCUAACUCCGUGCCAGCAGCCGCGGUAAUACGGAGGGAGCAAGCGUUAUUCGGAAUCACUGGGCGUAAAGGACGCGUAGGCGGGUUGUUAAGUCAGGUGUGAAAUCCUAUGGCUCAACCAUAGAACUGCACUUGAAACUGGGGACCUAGAGUAUGGAAGGGGCAGGUGGAAUUAGUGGUGUAGGGGUAAAAUCCGUAGAUAUCACUAGGAAUACCGAAAGCGAAGGCGACCUGCUGGGACAUUACUGACGCUGAGGCGUGAAAGCGUGGGGAGCAAACAGGAUUAGAUACCCGCGUAGUC